UACGUAGGGUGCAAGCGUUGUCCGGAAUUAUUGGGCGUAAAGAGCUCGUAGGCGGUUCGUCGCGUCGGCUGUGAAAUCCCGAGGCUCAACCUCGGAUCUGCAGUCGAUACGGGCGGACUGGAGUUCGGCAGGGGAGACUGGAAUUCCUGGUGUAGCGGUGAAAUGCGCAGAUAUCGGGAGGAACACCUAUGGCGAAGGCAGCUCGCUGGGACGUUACUGACGCUGAGACGCGAAAGCGUGGGGAGCAAACAGG
rnacentral:rRNA from 1 species